AGAACCAGCCCUUUUCUUACGCAGCUGGGAGCCUUGGGAGGACUACUCAGAUGAUAGGAACCAGUGGUUGAAAAAGAAAGAGAAACAAGAUGAAAGGAUUCGUGACUUUUCUGGGAAGUAUAAAAAGCUAUUUUGUGCCUCUUCUUUAUUUAGUUGCCAAUAGAUUGUUUUAUUUAUCUAUCUUGUUGUGUGAUAAAAUGCGAUAUGGGAGUAAUUGUUUUUCUUGUGUGUGCAUGCAUGUACGUAUUUCUAUUUUGAUGAAGUGCUGACCCUGCUGAUUCAGAAUACCUUUAAGUUUUACAAAGAUUUUGUUUUCUCCUGGCUUCCUCUUGCAUACACAAAGGCAGUAAUAGAGUGUCAUUUAAAUAAUAUGCCUUGGUUAGAACACAGCAAACUAGUUAAGAGAAACAUUUUAGAGGUUGACCUAAAAUACAUUAACUUUGAAAUAAAUAUACAUCUGGUAUAAAGAAUGAAUUUUACCAAAUAUGCAUAUCAGUUAUACCAACAGAUACCAUUUUGGGAAGAUACGUAUUCUGGUUUUAAAAAUAUUUUAGUUUGAGUUCAGUUGUAUUAUAGCUUACAUAAUACUAAUUAGAUGCUGGCUCAGAACUAUGUGUUAGUCAAAAAUUUUGGCUAGGUUCUCAUGAAAUAUCUGAAAGGCUAAAGAACAAUGUAAUUAUGCAUACAUUUAAAAUUUUGAAAGAAACAUCCCAUGUGCUACCUGACAGUGAAAUUGUCCCUGAUGAUAAGGAGAAAGGAUAAGAAGAUGCUGGGGACUGCCCGGUUCAGAGUGGACAUACUCAGGCCUAAUUCCUUAAAUAUUCAACUGAACUAGAUGAUGCUCUAUGAUCUAUAAGCUCUCUGUGCCUUGGUUUCUAAUAGAACAAAAUGUAGGGAGCAUCAAUCUCAUAAAUAUUUCUUUUCUUUCUUCUUUUUUUUUUAUAAACUGAAUGGAGAUUCCUGUGCAGUAGACUAUAUCAUAAAUGCUGGCAUUAGAAGAUUAGAAAAACUCCUGUCUUAUAAACUAUUUUAUAUUGGGUAUUUACUAUUUAUAGCUAACGGAUUUCUAAAUAUAUGAUUUGACCUGCUACAUUUAAACUAAGUAAUAAAAUACGUGUCAAAUAAUCCAAGUUAAUAUCCAAAGUCAUGACAUUAUCAAAGUUACAGUUUUUUCUUAAUCUGUCAAGAAUUUCAGUGCUAAAUUGACCUUAAUUUUUUAAAAAAAUAAUAUUUAGGUAACUUUCUGAUUACUCAAAAUAGUUCAGAACUGUAACUCAUGCUCCUGUGUGUGUGUGAUUUUUCUGCCUGUGCACUCUAUAACUGUGACUUGCUCAAGGGUGCUAAGAAGAGAGAAGCUGAUGUGGCUGAUGUUGGAAGGUGAUGAAUUCAUCCAUGGUAAAAGAAAUAUCCCUUAAGGCAGGGGUCUCCAACCCCUGGACCAUGGACAGAUCAGUGGCAGCAUCAGAUUCUCACAGGAGCAUGAACCCCACGGUGAACUCCACAUGCAAGGGAUGUAGUUGCGUGCUCCCUAUGAGAACCUAAUGCUUGAUGAUCCGAGGUAGAACAGUUUCAUCCCAAAACCAUUCCCCUGCCUCCGUAGAAAUAUUGUCUUCCACGAAACUAGGCCCUGGUGCCAAAAAGGUUGGGGCCUGCUGCCUUAGGGCAUGUCCUGUUACCAGCUUCCAGUUGCCCUUGAAGUGGUCUUCAUUAUCCUGGCUUUCUCUCCUCAGCCUCUUCUUCCUGCUGGACUUCCUACGGGCCUAUCCCUCACUGGCUCUGGGUCCUGGGCCUCUACCCAGGCCUGAGUCCAUGUGCUCAGAAAAGGUGUGGUUUCAUCCUUCUGGAGUACUGGUGUUCAUGUGACUGUCCUUUGAAAGAACAGGGCAAGAGUCAUCUGUUUUCUAUUAAACUUUAAUGACAUUUGAUACACACAAGACACUGAGAGAGGGGCAGAGAAAACUGGAUGUGCAGAUAAAAUGGAGACCAAAGUAGUACAUCAGGAGAGAUGUGAAGAUAUCCCAGUUUUACCCAGUAUCCCUGAAAGAAAAAGCUUCCUCUCACCUGUUUUGACUGUACGUGUGGCUGUGCUCUCUGGCUUCAGAAUUGCUUCUAUAGGAAGAAAUUAAUCAUCGAUUAUUCUACUAAAAUAGAUGAGAAAAUGAACGUGUGUGAAUCGAAAGACCCAUCCUGCCUUAACAAUUUUGGCACAGGCUGGCUGAGAGACUGAGAUAACACAGAGGACUGUUUCCUACAAGAAAGACACAUGUUUCCAGAUUGAGAUUCCAGGGAGGGCAUCCAGUUCCAAGGAUAACAGUGAUGGGGCUGAAUUUGAGACUGGGGUUGCUAUGGAAACAUCCCAGGCAGGUUGGCUAGUGUGGGGAGCAAGGACCGCUGUACACAAGCACCUCUGAAGACUGUCAGGAGUUUUCUAUGAAAAUUGGACUUCCUGCAGUUGUGUAGGUGAGAGAUUGGAAAUAUUGAGGUUCAGCUAUCCAUAUCAAAGAACCGAAUUUUCUCUCACUGGCUGGCAUGAUUUCUGUUAGAAUCUCCAAGACUAAAAGAAUGAGUAGACUGCCUUGAAUGUAAUGAGCCCCCCAUGAUGUAAUACUACUUGUGAGUAGUAUUUAAGGAGAGACCAGAUGGCUUUAUGUCUGUGUAUGUUCAUAUUCCACUAGAAAGCCUGCAUAUGUGUAUGCGUUGCAAAUUGUAAAACAAGUUCUGCAAUAUAAGUGCUAUUAUCACUAGGUAUGUGUAUGUUUCUGCUAUGCAUGUAUGUGGGAAGUCUCGCUGCAUGAGGGCUGACUUUCAAAGUCUCCUUUGCAACUCUUAAGAAUCUGUGGAUUUAUCAAAAUAAAAUAGGCAAUUUUAAUAAAUAAAAAAUCAUGUUCUAAUGGGGAGAUGUUGGUCAAAGAGUACAAACUUUCAGUUAUAAAAGGCAUAAUUUCUGGGGUGUAAUGUACAGCAUGAUAACUAUAGUUAAUACUGUAUUGUAUUGACAUUUGCUAAGAGAGUAGAUAUUAAAUGUUCUCACCACACACAUAUACUUAUGUGAGGUAAUGGAUGUGUGAACUAAGUUGUCUGUAGUAAUAAUUUCACAAUAUAUAUGUAUAUCAAAUCAUCACAUUUUACAUCUUAAAUUUAUACAGUUUUAUUUGUCAAUUAUACCUCAAUAAAGCUGGAAAAAGAUGUCACAGGAGCAGACUUGAUAAACGAUCACAGCUCGAAAAUAAGCAGAUUGAUGUCUGCUCUCUUCCAGGAAGAAAGUUUUAUAGAUCUCUUAUGUCUGCAAAUGGUUAAUAAAUGUUCUUAAAUAAUCCAGGACAAACUAUUUUUUGAUACAAUCUUAGAUUGAAAAGUU
rnacentral:lncRNA from 1 species